rnacentral:rRNA from 1 species
CCCUUAGAUGUCCUGGGCCGCACGCGCGUUACACUGAUGCAUUCAACGAGCAUAUAACCUUGGCCGAGAGGCCUGGGUAAUCUUGUUAACAUGCAUCGUGAUAGGGAUAGAUUAUUGCAAUUAUUAAUCUUGAACGAGGAAUUCCUAGUAAUCGCAGUUCAUCAAACUGCAAUGAUUACGUCCCUGCCCUUUGUACACACCGCCCGUCGCACCUACCGAUUGAAUGGUCCGGUGAAAUCUCGGGACGGCGGCUUGGUCGCUUGCGUCCGACUGCUGAAACUUGAUUAAACCAUAUCAUUUAGAGGAAGGUGAAGUCGUAACA